rnacentral:rRNA from 1 species
UACGUAGGUGGCAAGCGUUGUCCGGAUUUACUGGGCGUAAAGGGAGCGUAGGCGGAUACUUAAGUGGGAUGUGAGAUACCUGGGCUUAACUUGGGUGCUGCAUUCCAAACUGGGUGUCUAGAGUGUUGGAGAGGAAAGUGGAAUUCCUAGUGUAGCGGUGAAAUGCGUAGAGAUUAGGAAGAACACCAGUGGCGAAGGCGACCUUCUGGACAAUAACUGACGCUGAGGCUCGAAAGCGUGGGGAGCAAACAGGAUUAGAUACCCUGGUAGUCCACGCCGUAAACGAUGGGUACUAGGUGUAGGGGGGAUCGACUCCCCCUGUGCCGCCGUUAACACAAUAAGUACCCCGCCUGGGGAGUACGGUCGCAAGAUUAAA